rnacentral:lncRNA from 1 species
UGGGAGUGAAAUCGUUUUGGAUGUCCGGUUUUCUCCAUCUUUGGAAUAUCUGCACAUUUAUAACGACGUACGGUGGGGACGGAACUCGAGAGACACGCGAUUCUUGCUUCGUGUACAGCUUACACACACAGCCUGAAGGACGCAGGAGACCGAAGAAGAAGAAAGCAGCAAAACAGAGAGCUGUGGCUGUAGCCAGACAAGCGC